rnacentral:rRNA from 1 species
GACGAACGCUGGCGGCGUGCUUAACACAUGCAAGUCGAACGGAAAGGCCUCUUUCGGGGGGUACUCGAGUGGCGAACGGGUGAGUAACACGUGAGUAACUUGCCCUUGACUUUGGGUUGACUUCCGGAAACUGGGGCUAAUACCGGAUAGAAGCUCCUGCGACAGGGUGGGGGCUGGAGAGUUUCGGCGGUUGGGGAUGGACUCGCGGGUUAUCCGCUUGUUGGUGGGGAAGUGGCUUACCAAGGCGUUGCCGGGUAGCCGGCCUGAGAGAGUGACCGGCGACAUUGGGACUGAGGGGAGGCCCAGGCUGCGACGGGUGGCAGCUGGGGGGAAGCUUGAACCAGGGGUGGCGGGCGGGUGCAGAAGCGCCGUGGGCGGGAAAACGGUCUUGUGGGUGAAGACCGCUUUCGCUCAUGACGAAGCUUUGUGUGACGGUAGUGGAUAAAGAAGCACCGGCUAACUACGUG